GGGGCUGUAGCUCAGUUGGGAGAGCACCUCAAUGGCAUUGAGGGGGUCAAGGGUUCGAAUCCCUUCAGCUCCA
rnacentral:tRNA from 1 species